CAGUAGCCGCGGGAAUACGUAGGCGGCAAGCGUUGUCCGGAAUUAUUGGGCGUAAAGCGCACGUAGGCGGAUACUUAAGUCAGGGGUGAAAUCCCGGGGCUCAACCUCGGAGCUGCCUUUGAUACUGGGUAUCUUGAGUCCGGGAGAGGCUGGUGGAACUCCGAGUGUAGAGGUGAAAUUCGUAGAUAUUCGGAAGAACACCAGUGGCGAAGGCGGCCAACUGGCCCGGUACUGACGCUGAGGUGCGAAAGCGUGGGGAGCAAACAGGAUUAGAUACCCGUGUAGUCCCUGUCUCUUAUAC
rnacentral:rRNA from 1 species